UACGUAGGGUGCGAGCGUUGUCCGGAAUUAUUGGGCGUAAAGAGCUCGUAGGCGGUGUGUCGCGUCGGCCGUGAAAACCUGCGGCUUAACUGCGGGCUUGCGGUUGAUACGGGCGGGCUAGAGUUCGGUAGGGGAGACUGGAAUUCCUGGUGUAGCGGUGAAAUGCGCAGAUAUCAGGAGGAACACCGGUGGCGAAGGCGGGUCUCUGGGCCGAUACUGACGCUGAGGAGCGAAAAGCGUGGGGGAGCGAACAGGG
rnacentral:rRNA from 1 species